rnacentral:rRNA from 1 species
AUUGAACGCUGGCGGCAGGCUCAACACAUGCAAGUCGAGCGGGGUGAUGGUGCUUGCACUAUCACUUAGCGGCGGACGGGUGAGUAAUGCUUAGGAAUCUGCCUAUUAGUGGGGGACAACAUCUCGAAAGGGAUGCUAAUACCGCAUACGUCCUACGGGAGAAAGCAGGGGAUCACUUGUGACCUUGCGCUAAUAGAUGAGCCUAAGUCGGAUUAGCUAGUUGGUGGGGUAAAGGCCUACCAAGGCGACGAUCUGUAGCGGGUCUGAGAGGAUGAUCCGCCAAACUGGGACUGGAACACGGCCCAGACUCCUACGGGAGGCAGCAGUGGGGAAUAUUGGACAAUGGGGGGAACCCUGAUCCAGCCAUGCCGCGUGUGUGAAGAAGGCCUUAUGGUUGUAAAGCACUUUAAGCGAGGAGGAGGCUCUUUUGGUUAAUACCCAAGAUGAGUGGACGUUACUCGCAGAAUAAGCACCGGCUAACUCUGUGCCAGCAGCCGCGGUAA